UUUUUCUUUUGGUUCAAAAUAUUUUUAAUUUUCUCUAGUGAUUUCUUCUUUUAUCCAUGGAUUAUUGAUAAGUGCUUCGUUAAAUUUUGAAAUAUUUGGUGUUUUCCUAUAUCUGUUGCUACCUAUUUCCAAUUUAAUUCUACUGGGGCCAGAGAACAUAUUUGGUGUGACUUCUUCCUUUGUUUUUCCUGGUAUGAUCUCAAUCCUUUCACAUUUAUCAAAAUGUGCGUUAUGGCCCAGCAUGCAGUCUACCUUGGCGGAUGUAGCAUAUGCACAAGGAAAGAAUGUGUAUUCUGAAACUGGUCGGGUGCAGUGUUCUAGAAUGUCAAUUAGGUCAUGGUGGUUAAUAGUAUUGUUCAGAACGUCUACGUCCUUGUUACUUUUUGUUGCUGUUGUUUGUUUUUGUCUAAUUAUUCUAUCAACUGCUGAGGGAAAGGUCCUGAAAUCUUCAACUGUGACUGUGGAUUUCCCUCUUUAAUUCUGUCACUAUUUCUUGAAGCUCUUGUUAGGUACAUUUUUCCAUGCAGCAUUGGUUUUCUGCGGCUGCUGUAACAAAUUACCACAAACUGAGUGGCUUAUAACAACACACACUUAUUAUCUUAGAGUUUUGUAAGAUGAUAGGAGGUCAGAAGCCCAACAUCAUCAGAAGUUCCACAUAGGUCUCUCUUGCUCACCUCUCUCAGCUUCUGGACACUGACUGCAUUGCUUUCUCAUAGCCCCUCUGUCCACUUUCAAAGCACGCAGCAGUGCUCCGACCCUUCUUCCACAGUGACAUCUCUUUCUGACCGCGGUGUGGACAGGUUCUCUACUUUUAAGGACUCGUGUGAUUAGACUGGACCCAAUGGAUAAUCCAAGAUAACCGCUCCAUCUCAAGGUCCACAACUUUAAUCACGUCUGCAGAGUCCUUUUUGCCAUGUGAGUGCACUGCAAGAAGGUGGCCAUCUGCAAGCCAGGAAGAGGGCCCUUGCCAGAAACUGAACUGCCUGGCGUCUUGAUCUCGGACUUCCCAGCCUCCAGAACUGUGAGAAAAUAAAUGUCUUGUUUAAACCACCUAGUCUAUGGUAUUUUGCUACAGCAGCCCAAGCAGACUAAUACACAUACCUUCUAAAAGUAUUUAGAAAACCUAUGUAUCUUGCAUUUUUUUUUUUUUUGAGACACGGUCUCCUGCUGUUGCCCAGGCUGGAGUGCAAUGGUGCAAUCUCUGCUCACUGCAACCUCUGCCUCCUGGGUUCAAGAGAUUCUCCUACCUCAGCCUCCCAAGUAGCUGGGGCUACAGGUGCACACCACCAUGCCUGGCUAAUUUUUGUAUUUUUGGGUAGAGACAGGGUUUCACCAUGUUGCCCAGGCUGGUCUUGACCUCCUGGGCUCAAGCAAUCCUCCUGCCUUGGCCUCCCAAAGUACUGGGAUUACAGGCAUGAGACACCGUGCCUGGCCCCUCCUGCAUAUUUUUAAGGUGACAUCUACAAUUUUUCAAGGUAAAUUUAAAUGGUUGCGAAAAGAUGUAAUAUUUAGAAACAUUAUAUAUGGCAUGCAUGCAUUCAAUAUAUUAAAUUUAUAAAUGCAAUUUAAUAUGUAAGUGUAAGCUCUUUCAGAAUUUACAAAGAAGGUCUGACAUAGAACAUAAUUGGCAAAGCCUGUCUGCUCUGUCAAACAUUCAGGCGAAUCAGAUUUACUUUCUGUCAGAAAAAGUUUGACCUUAUUUUCAACUCAAACAUGCUAUACACAUCACAGUGAAAGCAUAGCACUUCGGGAUUCUUAGUUUUAAAACCAACUACCAGAUAGGUAAGGCAUGGGGAUGCACCAUGAGUUGGUAGCCUGGAAGAAAAAAGACCUGCCCUUCCGUUAUUUUUUACAGAGACCUUCUUUGCUUUGCUUUUAUGAGACUCUCCUUUAGGGCCAACGAGUUUUCAAACUAUUUCUGUUUGGUCCACCGAGGUAUUAUGUCCUGAGGUAAGGUAAGGAAGAUCGUAAAAUGUGGAAGGGGUCAGUGAUAUGCCUUUCUUCUGUACAGUAAGAGGAGAAGCCAUGAAAGCUGAUGGGAGAAAGGAGCAGCAGCACACAGACACAUUUCCUAACAGAUCGACAUUGGCCUGGAAUAUACACGGAAGUUAGAAACCAGGGAACUGGCUCCCUCGCCAAUUUAUCCCCAGGAAGUCUUUAUGUACCCCCAGGAAUAAACAUGCCCCAGUUUGAAGACUGCUGUGCUAAUGCAAUAGUAAUGACCAUACCAUAAACAAGUUACAAUUACUGGCCAAGAGACAGGAAUUGUUAGAUUGAAUAAAAAACAAGAACCAGAGGUACGCAGUCCACACAAGAUAGCUAAAACCAAUGAAUGCUUCAAGACUGAAAAUAAAGAAAUGGAAAAGUUAUAAUGCUGUUAUAAGUAAAAAGAAAAUCAAGUUAGCAAUUUUAAUAUCAGACAAAUAGAAUUUAAGAAGGAAAAGAGAUUAAGAAACCAGAAGAAUAUUAUACAGAAGUCACCUUCAUCCAUGGGGGGAUAUGUUCCAAGGCCCCCAGUGGAUGCCUGGACCAUGACAGUACUGAACCCUAUGUAUACAUCAUAAGCAAGAGUAGAUCUGAUAACUGAGACAGCUGCCAAGUGACUGACAAGCAGGUAGCGUGGACAGCAUGGACAGGCUGGACAAACAGAUGGUUCAUGUCUAGUCAGGACGGAGCAGGACAGUGCAAGGUUUCAUCAUGCUACUCAGAAUGGCCUACAAUUUAAAAUUUACAAAUUAUUUCUAGAAUUUGCCAUUGAAUUUUUCUGGAACAAAGUUGACCUCAGGUAACUGAAACAGUGAAAAGCAAAACCGUGGAUUAGGCAGGGGGAACUACUGUAUGCUAGUAAAAAUAAUAAGGCUGGGUGCAGUGGUUCACACCUGUAAUCCCAGAACUUUGGGAGGCUGAGGCGGGUGGAUCACUUGAGGCAGGAGUUCGAGACCAGCCUGGGCAACACAGUAAGACCCCCAUCUCUUAAUUUUUUUUUUUUUUUAAUUAGCUGGGCGUGCUGGUGUCUGCCUGUAGUCCUAGCUACUUAGGAGGCUGAGGCGGGAGGACUGCUUGAGCCUGGGAGGUUGAAGCUGCAGUGAGCUAUGAUCUUACUAUUUCACUUCAGCCUGGGGGACAGAGUGAGACCCAAUCUCAAAAAAAAAAAAAAAUCAUGAGCUCAUACACAAGUAAUAUAGCAUUAUGGAGAGAAAUAAACAAUUGUGGCAAAGAUUUUAAAAAUAUGAAUUAUUAAAUAUUUUUAAAAAUACACAAAUUUUUGGCCAGGCGCGGUGGCUCACACCUGUAAUCCCAGCACUUUGGGAGGCUGAGGCGGGUGGAUCACGAGGUCAGGAGAUCGAGACCACGGUGAAACCCCGUCUCUACUAAAAAUACAAUAAAUUAGCUGGGUGCGAUGGCGGGCACCUGUACUCCCAGCUACUCGGAAGACUGAGGCAGGAGAAUGGCGUGAACCCAGGAGGUGGAGUUGGCAGUGAGCCGAGAUCGCGCCACUGCACUCCAGCCUGGGCGACAGAGUGAGACUGUCUAAAAAAAAAUAAAUAAAUAAAUAAAUAAAUGAAAUACACAAAUUUUUAAAAAAGCAAGGACACGUUAGCUCCCCAUUGAGAUACCUCCUGUUGACAUUUCUUUUAAAGUUAUAUAUGUUUAAAGACAGAAAACUCAAAGUACAAGGAAGAUACAUAAGGUUAAUUAAAGCUCCUCUCCUUUCCCCGCUCCUUUCUUCCCCAAAGACAACCACUGUUAACACUGGAAAAAAAUGUUUUUACGGGGUGGGAGUUGUUGGAUUUACAAUUCUUAUUUAUGGCAGUCCACUGUUGCUUCCUUUAUAUCUGUGUCCCCUUGAGCGAGGAUCGACUAACGUAAAUCCUGCUUUGUAAAGGGGCCAGAAAAUGUGUGCAACUUAAUGUCUCAGAAAGUGAUGCAAACAUGCCAUAACAUGGAUGAACCUUGGGAACAUUAGGCUACGUGAAAGAAGUCAGUCACAAAGGUCACAUAUUGUCUGAUUCCAUGUAUACGAUAUAAAAUCCAAAAGGGGCAAAUCCAUAGAGAAAAAAGUAGAUUGGGGUUGCCUAGGGCUGGUGAGGAGAGGCUGGGGGAGACUGAGGACUGACUGCUAAUGGGUAGAAUCUACUUUUGGGGUGAUAAAAAUGUUCUAAAAUUAAUUGUGGUGAUGGUUGCAAAACUCAGUGAAUAUACUAAAAACAACUGAGUUGUAUACUUUCAAAGGGUGGAUUUUAUGGUAUGUAUAUUAUAUCUCAAUAAAGAUAUUGUUUAAAAAUGCCCCAAAUGCAGACUGAAAAUAUAAAUGCUUCCAACUGGGUUAUGAAGUAACAGGAGAAUUUUGAGACUGUUGAAGAAAACCAUCCCACAUUCUGACUCACAUCAGAAACAAUACUCAGUAUAAAGGACUGCAUCCAGGGUGAUAAUUCUCAAGUUAUUUCAGCUGUCCAGAGAGUACAAUGACAUAAAAUGAAGCAAGGGCGCUGCUGACAAAAAAGGCCUCCCUAGAAUACACAGUUGCAGUACAUGUGCUCUUUGGCUUCCAGGCAAUUCCUUGAACUUGAACUACACUCACACGCUUUGAGGCAAGCCUAUGAACUUGACCUGAGAACUGUUUAUUUCCCAAGCUAUAUGUUUCCAAACCUUCUGCUUCCUAUCAAUGAUUUCCAAUGGUUUUAAGGAACAUUUAAAGAAAAAUAGGACACAUUAGCUAGAUUUGGUUAAUUACAAAUCAAAUAAAUCCAAAGGAACAUAAUAAUGCAAAACUACUUCACCACUUAAAUUACUGGAGUUUUUGUUUCUCAGACCUUUUUGCUUGGUUUGGUUUUGCUUUUAUUUCAUUUCCAUGAAUGUAACACCUACAUAGAUUGGUGGUGUAACCACCACCACAAUCAGAAGGCAGAAGAGUGCCAUCACUCCCAAGCUCCCUCAGCUCUCCCUUUGUAGUCAUAUCCGCCCCCACCAAUUCCCAGCAACCACUGAUCUGUUCUCCAUCUCAACAGUUUUGUCUUUAGGAAAAUGUCAUGUUAAUAGAAUCAUACAACGUGUAACAUUUUAUGACUUAAUAGGCCUCCUUUAUUCAGUGUAAUGCUUUGAGAUUCAUCCGAGCUGUUGUGUUAGUUAAUAAUUAGUGUUUUUUUUGUUUGUUUUUUUGCAGAGUAGUGUUCUGUUGUAUGGACGUAUUACAAGUUGUUUAUCCAUUUAAUCAAAGGACAUUUGGGCUGUUCACAGUUUUUGGCAAUGGUCACGAACGUAAGCUUUCAUUUCCAUAGGCUGACUAUGUAGGAUUGCUGGGUUAUAUGUUAACUGUAUGUAAAACUUUAUAAGGAACUGCCAAACUGCUUUCCAGAGUAGCUGUGCCAUUUUGUAUUCCUUCUGGCAGUGUAGGAGAGUUGCUGCUCUGCACCCCCAAGGCACUGUCAGUAUUUCAUCUUAGUCACUCUAGUAAGUGCAUAUGAUAUCCUAAUUUUAACCUACAUUUCUCUAAUGAUUAAUGAUGUCAUGCAUCUUCUCUCGUGCUUAUUUGCCAUCUGUAUAUCCUCUUUGGUGAAGUGUCUGUCUUUUGCCCAGUUGAAAAAACUGGGUUACUUUCUUAUAGUUAAGUUUUGAGAGUUCUUUAUAUAUUCCAAAGACAAGCCCUUUGUAUUUGUAAAUAUUUUCUCCAAGUCUGUCUCUCGUCUUUUCAUUCUUAUAAAAGUAUCCUUCACAGAAUAAUAGUUUUUAAUUCUGAUGAAGUCAAAAUUUAUCUUUUUGAUGAAAUUUAAUUUGAUGAAGUCCAAUUUAUCCUUUUUCUUUUAUGGAUGGUGCUUUCGCUGUCAUGUCUAAGAACCUCUUCCCUAAAUCCCAGGUCAUGAAGAUUGUCUCAAGUUUUCUUCCACAAGUUUUAUAGUUUUAGAUUUUAUAUUCAGAUUUAUGAACCACUUUGAAGUAACUUUUGUAUAACAUGUGAGGAUUAGGCCAAAAUUCACUUCUUUUUGCAUAAGGGUGUCCAAUUGUUCCAGUACCAUUUGCUGAAAAGGCUAUACUUUCUCACUGAACGGACUUUUUACCUUUGUCAAACAUCACUUGGCAUUUUUGUCGGGACCUAUUUCUGGACUUUCUACCCACGUGUCCAAGCUCUCUGUAGGGUAACUUGUAAAAACACCAGGCUAACUCACAAUCUGAAUAAUGAACAGUGGUUGGGUACCUGGUUUAUUCCGUGAUAUAGGUUGCAGAAUGUGUAACCCAGGCUACACAAAUGAAAUAUUUAGAUCAGUUUUUGAUAUUACAAUAUAAGCAAGGCACUGCCAACCUGGAAGCAUUCCUUGACGGCAACUAAGAUAAUAAGGCAAAUAGAAAUCAUAACAUCUGACAACUGGCUGAGGAAAGCAGGGCUGUCUGUCCCGGAGCAAUGGAAAGAGAGUGUGAGCUCUGGCUCUGGACCUGUGCAACGGAGCUCAGUGGAAAGAACGGAUCCUUCUGUGUGAUCCCUAGGGAGACGAUUCUGCCCAAUGACUAGAACCAGGCUCUGUGCUUGGGUACAGGGAGUCCAGAGAUAGAUAGGCUAUGCUUCCUGCUUUCAGAGGGGGAAGCUACAGGAAAACUAUUUUGGUUUGCCAUUGGCCAUCUAGCCAAUGGUAACUAUAGCGCCCGUCUACUUUAGGUAAGAGACUGGAUCAAAGGACUUGCAGGGCUCUGAUUGUUUUCAGAUUAAACCCAAGGACAGUUUCUGUCCUAGGUUUAACGGCUUCCUGAAGAAACUGGGGUCAGGUAAAAAAAAAAAAAAAAAAAAAAAAAAAGAGAGAGAGAUCUGCCCAAGGUCUCAAAAUAUUGGCUGCAAAACUGAGUUUAGAAAUCAACCCUCCUGCUGGGCGCGGUGGCUCACGCCUGUAAUCCCAGCACUUUGGGAGGCCGAGGCGGGUGGAUCAUGAGGUCAGGAGAUCAAGACCAUCCUGGCUAACAUGGUGAAACCCCAUCUCUACUAAAAAUACAAAAAAAUUAGCUGGGCGUGGUGGCAGGCACCUGUAGUCCCAGCUACUUGGGAGGCUGAGGCAGGAGAAUGGCGUGAACCCAGGAGGCGGAGGUUGCAGUGAGCCGAGGUCGCGCCACUGCACUCCAGCCUGGGCAACAGAGCAAGACUCUUCCUCAAAAAAAAAAAAAAAAAGAAAGAAAAAGAAAAUCAACCCUCCUGACGUUUAGCCCAGGCCUCCAUAAUUUGUCAAAAUUCUUUUUUUUUUUUUGGCGGCGCGGGGGAGGAAGGUCUCGCUCUGUCGCCCAGGCUGGAGUGCGCUGGCAUCAUCUUGGCUCACUGCAGCCUCUGCCUCCCAGGCUCAAGCAACCCUCCCACCUCAGACUCCCGAGUAGCUGGGAUUACAGGCAAGCGCCAACACGUGCAGCUGAUUUUUGUAUUUUUUUUAGAGAGAGGGUUUCGCCAUGUCAGCCAGGCUGGUGUUGAAAUCGUGAGAUCAAGUGAUCUGCCCGCCUGGGCCUCCCAAAGUGUUGGGAUUACAGGUGUGAGCCACCUCACCUGGUCUAUUUGUCAAAAUUCUUAGUCAACACUGUGUUUGCUAAAGAAUAAAUAACCCAAUGCCUUCUUCAAUGACCUAAGCCUCAUAUAUACUCAUUGUAUGUGUGAGGCUGAGUAUCCUUAAUCCAAAAAUCUGAAAUUCAAAAUACUUCAAAAUUCAAAACUUUCUGAAUGCCGACAUGACACUCGAAGGAAAUGCUCAUUGGAGUAUCUUGGAUUUCCUUGUUAGGGAUGCUGACUCAGUAAGUAUAAUGCACUGUCUCCCGAGUUUUUCUUAUCAUUUGGCUAUCUCAGAGGCCUUUACAGAGAAAGGAAUCCUACAAUUUGAAAUUUCAACACUUUUUUUCCAAUGACAAAAUGGGGGAAAAUCAAAUCAAACAGGUCUCUUCUGAAGAUUUUAUUUCUGCUCUGAGCUGUUCUGGGUGACCUACUGCUCUAAUUAGGCUGGAAAUAAACCUGGCUUUCAUGAGAUGCAGGACACGGCUGGAGGAAAAAGUUGUCAAGACUACUUACAAUCAUCAGUGCCCACAGGCCUCAGAGCAUUCCAAGAAUUCAUUGAUUCAUUCCAUAAUUCAUUCUGCCCAUUAGGCACAAACACAGACACCCAGGGAGAACAAACACCACUGGCUGAUUUAGCUUUACUGAUCUGCCCAGGGCAGGACAGAGAUUAAAAAAACAAUAAUGCUGUAGUUUAUCAAUAGCUCCUCAAAUGGGUAGUGUGGUACAGCAGAAGUCAGCACAGCUGACAGUCCUAGCUCUACCUCUCUGAAUGUGUGUUCAUUGACAAAAUGGAAGAUUAAUCCCGUCCUUUCAACUUGACUGAGUGCUGGCAGGGAUCAAAUGAGACUGAGGAUAUGAGAAGUGCUUUGCAAACUGAAAAUCAUUGUGACCUACACGAGAGAGUUCUUCACCUAACAAACAUGUGUUGGGCGCCUAUUACGUGACCUGCUCAUGCUAAACACCACGGAUAGGAAGUAAAACAUAAUGCAGUCCUGGCCCUCAAGAAGACACUCAGAUAUCUGAUAAAGUGUGGCAGGUGCGAUAACAAGGCAAGAGCAGGGGAUGUGAGAGCACAGGAGGGCCCUUGGAUUACUCUGGAAACUUAAAAAGAUGACCAGGAAGAGGUGCCAGGAACAGAGGAUUAAGGCAGGAGUAGGAGUUAUGCACCAGCUUCCAGAAAACAUCACACACUCUUUUAAUACUCAAAACAAUCCCACAAAGUGGGCACUAUUUGUAUCGUCACCCUUAUUGUACUACAAAGCAGUGGCUCCCAACUGCAGACGGGAGUGAGGUGGCUGCCUUAACUACAUCAUCAGGCUUACCAACCCCUCUGGCAGCGUUCAACAACACACUAGCUGUAACUAGGUACUCCCUCCUUUUAUUGUCUCUAUGCCUAGCUUUUGCUCCAGUAUUUAUUUCUUUAUUUAUUUUUAUAGGGUCUUGCUCUGUCAUCCAUGCUGGAGUACAGUGGUGCAAUCACGGCUCACUGCACUGUCCCCAGUGGGAAAGUGGUAUAAGGAUGCCCCAUGGUCUCCCCUCCAAGCUCCCACCAAAGUGAGCCUGCUUCAACCCUUACAUCCAAGCUAUACUGGGGAGCUCACUGCUGAAACACUCCAUGCUGUUUCUCACUGUCCAUUCAGGCAGCGAGGACCACCCCUGCUUAGGUUACUUCCAGCUGAUGUGUGGAGAUGGUUUAGGCUUGGUCUUCUCCAAGAACCCUGGGCCUGGGAAUUAGAUACCCACACAUACCCCAGGUCUGCCUGUGGCACUCCUUGGAUCACAUUGUAAUUACAAUGGUCUAUUUCCAGGUCUGUCUUUAUGCUGUGAGCUCUCAGAGGACAAGUAUCAGUCCUUACCCGUCUUCCCCAGUGCCCGGCAGACUGAAAGUGUUCAAAUUAUGUUUGCUCUCCUAUAGCCUUUGGUUGAAGUCUUCUUGCCAGUUUUAAUAUGUAAUUCUGGAUUAAGGGUUUAUUGUUCUCGUUGUUAUUGUAUGUAUAUGUAAGCCAAAAUCUCUGUAUAAGAAAUACUGUGUGUUGUGAAAGUUAAAAUAUUAAAAAAAUAUAGGGACUAUCUCCCUUCCCAUCUUAGCUUCCUCCCAAGGCAACUACUGUCAUGAGUUUCUUGUAUACUAUUUCACAACUAUGCUACGCAGGUUCACACAUGUUGUGAAUCCCCCAACCCCCUUUUGCUUCACAAUGGGUGCACACUGUAAUACUAUUAUAAACCAUUAUAGAAAGAGGAUGUGAUCGAUAAUUUUAGAUGUCAACUUGACCGGAUUAAGGAAUACCUAGAGAGCAGGUAAAGUGUUAUUUCUGGGUGUGCCUCUGAGGGUGUUUCCAGACUGGCAUUAAGAGUUGGUGGACUGAGUAGGGAAGACCUACCCUCAAUGUGGGCGGGUCUAUCGUAGGACUUUACAACCUCCAUAAUCACGACUCAAUACCUCUAAUAAGUCCUCCCUUGUAUAUCUAUACAUAUACAACUGGGGGCCCAGAUACAACAAAAGGGAAGAAACACUUUGGGAAGCUGAGGUGGGAAGAUCGCUUGAGCCCAGGAGUUCUAGACCAGUAUGGGCAACACAGCAAGACUCUAUCUUUACAAAAAAAUUUAAAAAUUAGCCAGGCAUGGUGGCAUGCAUCUGUAGUCCCAGCUACUUGGGAGGCUGAGGUGGGAGGAUUGCUUGAGCCCAGGAGCAUGAGGCUACAGUGUGCCAUGAUUGUGCCACUGUACUCCAGCCUAGGCAACAGAGUGAGACCCUGUCUCUAAAAGAAAAAAAAAAAAAAAAAAAGGCAGAGGAAAGGUGAAUUCCCUCUCUCUUCUGGAGCUGGGACACUUCUUCUCCUGCCCCUGGGACAUCAGAACUCCAGGCUCUCCAGCCUUUGGGCUCCAGGACUUGCCUGAGCACCUCACCCCACCCCACCCCCACCCUGGGCUCACAGGCCUUUGGACUUGGAUUGAGCCACAAUACUUGCUUCCCUGGGUCUCCAGCGUGCAGACGGUCUAUCGUAGGACUUUACAACCUCCAUAAUCAUGACUCAAUACCUCUAAUAAGUCCUCCCUUGUAUAUCUAUACAUAUACAUAUACACACACACACACACAUAUAUAUACACACACACAUAUAUAUAUACACACACACAUAUAUAUAUACACACACACACAUACAUAUAUAUAUAUCUAUCUCCUAUUGGUACUCCCUGGAGAAUCCUGAUUAAUACAGAGGGGUUCCUAACCUGAGGUGCUCAGAUGGAUUUCAGUGAUCUAUAAAACCCUAAAAAUUUUAUGCCAUGUUGUUCCAUGGUGAACAGGUCUAUGUGAACCUACCCACAAAGGUUGAUGGAGCUGAUAUGCUGAAAAAAGAGGUUGACAAAUCCAGUUUUUCAGAAGGAAAAAUUUAAUAAGGACUCACAAACAGAAGCCAUAUCUCAGGUGGCCUUGAGACAGUCGAUCCCCACACUGUUAUCCACCAGACUCAGGGCUUAUAUACCUCAGAAAACUUGACUAAGGGCAGGGUUUAUGGUAAGUAUGUAUUUACAAUAACAUCAAUGCUGGUGAGUAUAUAAAAGUAGAAAUCUCAGAGGCAUUCCCGGAACUGGGGUCAAUCAGAAUUCAACAUGGCAGAUUAGCAUCCCAAAUGGAGUGGCUUUAGCCUCCACAAACGUUGUAGCUUAAGCAUAUUAUACUUUUUCAGGAGAAUGUGCUAAUAACUACCAUUAAUUCCUCAAAGUAACUCCUGGUCUCCAAAAAGAAAUCUUCCUACCAAAAAAAGCAUAUGAACUGGCCCUGGGCACAGUGAAUGCUACUGAAGCACCCUCACGGCAUGCUCACCCUGGCCAGAGGUCGCUGGGCCCAGGGCCCAGAGAUGGGGGAGUUUAAGGAGGCAGCGUCUCCACUGUGCGCUUGUCAGUAACAGAGAAAUGAGGAGCAAUUUAGAGAGUAUUUUGAAACUUCCUGUAUCAAUGCAAAUCUAAUACAGAGCAAAGAAUAUCACGUAAGUCUGGAAAUUCUAUUUGGCCUGGCACUUUUAAACCCAUUUGCUAAAUGCAACAAUGUAACCGAGAUUCUCUGUCUUAGUUACUUUCUGUCUCAGUUCAUCAGGGCUCUAGACAUCCAAUUUGGUAGCCUUUGGUAGCCUCAAGCCAUGUGUGACUACCGAGCACUUGAAAUGUGGCCGGUCCAAAUUGAGAAGUGAUGUUAGGGUAAAAUACAGCCCAAAUUUCAAAGACUUAGUACAAAAAUGUAAUGUAAUAUAGUUAAUUAAUAAUUUUCAUAUUACCAUAGUAACACUGUUGAAAUUAUAUUAUGGAUACAGUAGUUUAAACACAUAUAUUUUUUAAAUUAAUAUGAUCCAUUCUUUUUACUUUAGUUCAUAUGGUUAUUAAAUAUUUAAAAUUCCACAUGCAGCUCCCAUUUGUGGCUUGAGUUGUUUUUACUGGGCAGUGUGGCUUCAGAGAUCAGUGCACAACUAUUCACUAUUCUCUGUUCUCCAAUUAAUUGAUUCCCACCUUAGAAAUGUUUUCUUCUAGAAAUCAAAAGUAAAGCUUUCAGAUAGGGUUUUCUAGUCGGGUAUUACUAUUGGCACACAAAUAAAAAACAGUUCACCAAAAAAUACCUGGAAAAAUAUACUAAAACUGACACAUUCAUUUAUGGGGUCUAAGUCCAUGGUGAAAUCCAUUUGGCAAUACCCAACUGAAAAUAUCUUUGAAGUCUGGGAUGUAUUUUGCACUGAUAUCACUUCUCAGUUUCAGAAGGAUAUAAGUCUAAUAAUAAUCUCUUAAAAGACAUUUACUGAGCACCUACUGUGUGUUGGGGUCUUCACAUUUAUUACAAUCAUUUCCACUUUAAAUAUGAGAAAUCUGAAGCUCAGAGAGUGGCUCCAGGCCAUUUGACUAGCAAGCGGCAUAGACCUAGGUCUUGGCCACAGGAAAUUGCCCCAUCCCUCCUUCUGCCCACAUUCUGCCUUCUUUUAUAUUUGCACCACAGGACAGUUCACGUUCUUUCUGAUACAUUGUAUCAUUUAAUUAUCUAAACUAUGCUGUGAAGUAAACAGGGAUGUUACAAUUACUGUAUUAAAAGGAGGCAUCCAAGCCCACCUCACAUCUCAUGGCUUGUAACAGGAGAGCAUAAUCUUACACCUAGGAGUUCUGGGAAAAAAAGUUCAAUAUCUUUUCCUUUCCAUGCUGCCAAUCAUAACUUCCUCCUUUUAAAACUGACUGCCUUCCUAGGUUUGGAGUUAAAAGGAAUGGGGGAAGAGGAACACUUAUUGUUAACAAUAACCAUAUUGUAUCAACAAUGCCACUGUUUCUAAGUACACAUUUCUGCAUAUUAUGUAUUAAUAUAUUAUUAAUAUAACAUCACUGUGAAUUUAUAGUGUUGACUGACCCGGAAUUGGGGUCAAUCAGAAUUCAACAUGGCAGAUUAGCAUCUCAAAUGGAGUGUCUUUAGCCUCCACAAACGUUGUAGCUUAAGCAUAUUAUGCUUUUUCAGGGGGAAUGUGCUAAUAACUACCAUUAAUUUCUCAAAGUAACUUUAUGUUAUUACAUCCUCUAUUUCAUUUGCUCUUCCAUGCCCACAUUUAUUAUUCUUAUUUCAAAGAGGAUGAAACUGCAGCAUACAACAGCUAAGUGAUUUAUGAAAGCUCUCAGAGCUACUUACAGACCAAAAACACAGGCAAUAAAGGUCAUGAAGAGUUAAAUGGAGACACGGAGACAUACUGAGGCAAAACCUCUCCUCCUGGUCUCACAUCCCAGGGAAGGUGCCUCACUAUUCAAUAUAUAAACCCUUUGGUGCAGACUGGGGAGAUAAAAGCAAAGGAAAGGAAGACCUCCUUUCUCAGGUUGAACUGCGUUUGCUGACUAGCAGUCAGGCUCCGUUCUGUCCUGCCCAGAUGGCUGCUUUCUGAGGGGCAGACGAGCAGCCACACUCUACCUUCUCUCUGCUCCCAUGCUAAAAGGAAAAACAUGGGGAAACAAUGACAAAAAGAACUAAUCCAAGUCCAGAGAACGUGUAGCUUGAAUGUAGACUAGACGGGAGGCUAAUCUGAGCUGAGGAGAGGAUACAGGGCGAGGGGAAGAGCUACAUGGUAGAUUGUGAACAAGGAAGAGUUCACAAGAGAAAAAAUACAGUAAUGUUAAAAAUGCAUAAAGAAAGGAGGAGAGAGAAAAAAGCGGAACAAAAGGAGCUGGUAAAAAUCUGUAGUAAGGGCAGCAAAGUGCUAGUAACAGGAUCACUGUGCAUUGAGCCGUUUGCUAAGGCUGUCCAAGUGCCACAAGCAAACACAAAGGGACAGAAGCCACAAAGAUCAACAGCUCAUGGGGGCUGGGCACAGUGGCUCAUGCCUGUAGGCCCAGCACUUUGAGAAGUCAAGGCAGGAGGAUCCCUUGAGCCCGGGAGUUUGAGAUCAGCCUGGGCAACACAGCAAGACUCCAUCUCUGCAAAAAAGUUAAAAAAUUAGCCCAGUGUGGUGGUGUGCACUUGUGGUCCCAGCCUCUCAGGAGGCUGAGGUGAGAGGAUCACUUGAACCCAGGAGGUCGUGACACCCAUGAUCGCGUCACUGCAUUCCAACCUCGGUAACAGAGCGAGACCCUGUCUCUAUUAAAAACAAAAAGCAGCUCAUGGGGUCAGCCACACCACCCAGACACACAAGCCAGAGAGAACAGAGUGGGUGAAGAUAUAGACCAAUUCCAGGCUAGGAAACUACUUACCAUCCCCUACUGUACAGAGAACUUCACUGUUGUUGUUUAUUUAGAAAUUUCUUAAAUGUGGUUUAUUCAACACUUCAGUAACUCUAGUUAUUUUACCCAUAUUAUGUGUCCAAAUUAUUCAUGUGACUUAAAGUUUUGCUUUAAAAGCUUCUAACAACUGGGUGCAGUGGCUCACGCCUGUAAUCCCAGCACUUUGGGAGGCUGAGGUGGGUGGAUCACUUGAGAUCAGGACUUUGAGACCAGCCUGACCGACAUGGCAAAACCCUGUCUCUACCAAAAAUACAAAAAUUAGCCAGGUGUGGUGGUGCAUGCUUGUAAUCCCAGCUACUUGGGAGGCUGAGGCAGGAGAAUCACUUGAAUCUGGGAGGCGGAAGUUGCAGUGAGCCAAAAUUGUGCCACUGCACUCCAGCAUGGGGAACAAGAGUGCAACUCCGUCUCAAAUAAAUAAAUAAAUGGCCUCUAACAAGGAUUGUUUUAACUAGAAAAUAACUGAACUUCAUAAAGUGAGAAAAGCUGAAAUCAUGGGGUAUUCAUAUGAGGAAUCCUAUUUUUAAAAUAUUUGUCUCCCACAGGGUCUCUGUCCCCAAGGUUUAACUUUGAAAAGCUCAAAUGUUCUUACCUGUCCUUUUUCCCUUCAGUUCUUAUACUUAUUUGGUGACUUGGUUAAUGACUCUAUUUUCUGAAAUCUGAGAAGCCAGUCCUGGGCCCUAUGGGUCAUGGCUGCAGAAGGAAACACAGUCCCCACUCUUGAGGAAUUCAUCUGCUUUUGGGAGAGGCAGGAUAUAUUCAAGAGAACUAAAAAAGUUGGAAAAGUAACCAAUAACCCAAACUGUAUCCCUAGUUUCUGAUCUUUGUGAGUACAAAGUUAUAUUCUUUCUUUACAGCAACACACACACACACACACACACACACACACACACCCCAGGGCACAGCACACAGGGUACUAAGUGGUACCUAAGACCAUCUCUGACAGCUACCCACCCAAGCUGUGGCCUCUGCCAAGAGUUGAGGGAUAUCAGUGAAGUUCUAGCAUUAUUCUGUUUAAGCUUUUUAUUAUGAGCAGUUAAUAAUUUUUCAAUUAAUAAAACUAGCUUAUUAAAAAUAAAGAAGUUUAAUGGCACAAAGGGACAAGUGAAAUGCAAAUGGGACCCAGACUUGUUCCGCUUGUUAAGACAGUAUCCUGAUUUGGGACUAAGAGCCCUGGCUGUCCAGACCACGUGGGCUUCAAAACCGAGAGGAGGCAGUGGUGGGCAACCUUGUCCGCCAUCUGAGUCCAUCGCUUCUGCUCUUUGAUAUGGCAAGUCAGAAUUAAAUAUUCUGAAGGCCCAACAGAGCUGGGAAGUUUGUCCAGACAAGAGCAUGAUAAGAUCAGUUUGUUUAAAACCUGCUGUGGAUUUAUUUGCUUUGUCCAUGCUUAGCAAUUCUGUCCACUUGCCACAACUUCUUCAGAUUUUAAUUUCCUUCUUUUCCUCUUAAUUCUAUAGACAUGGCCAACGUGGUGCUUUAUUAAAUCUACAGAGCUGGUUGCCAGGCACUUCCUUCUGCUGCCUGCAGCUCUCCGUCUACAGUAUCCUACCCAGGAUGAUUUCAGCUUUCCUUAGUCUACACUUUCCCCUCACUGAAAAGCAGCAGAAUGGGAAUCCACAGAGCUAGUUCCAGUCCUGUUGCUAACUAACCUGGUGAUCACAACCAAGCUCUGACCCUGUCUAGGUGUGUUUCCUCCUCUGUAAUUUCUAACUUGCUGAAAGUGGUGUUAAUGAAAUGACAUAUUGUUAAUACAGUUCUCGGCCCUCAAUAGUUGAAUAAAUAAAUGGAAGCUAUCCCAUUUGUAUCCCUAAUGUCUAGCUCUGAAUGAAUGAAAGAAAAUAACUAUAUAUUGCCUGGGACAUAGUGGCUGUUUCGGAAAUAUUACUUCUCUUUCCCUUACCCACUGGAAAUACCUCAAGGGAACUGGCCAUGUCUGCUCUGGGGAAGCGAAAGGUAAAUACCAUGUCCAAAAGAGGGACUCACAGAGAUCUGAACAAGGGGAUACCUAAGGAACUUUUUUGGUUCUAAUAUUCUAUAUUUUAUUUGUACAUUUAGCAAACACUGCUGAAGACUUGAAACACAUGCUGGACACCAGCCAAGCCUGGAAUUAAUGUCACGUGCUCCUUCCACAGUGCAUCAUCUAGAAGGCAGGGACUGACAAAUCCAGUUAACAAAAGGGCAUGAGAAGUACAGAAACAGAAGUAGGUGCAAGAGUAUUUUCAGAGUAUAUGAGAAGGAAGAUUAACUCUACCUGGGGGAAUGAAAGAGGAAAAGGUAAGCCUUGAACACUGAGCAGAAGGCCCCUGUUAGAAAGGCUUUCCUGGAAGUGAUUCCUUUAAUCAAUGUCAUGUAGCUUUCUAUCUGGAUGCUACACCUUGGAGAAAUUAGACUAGACAGUGAUUGUCUCUCCAGAGCCUUUUAUUCCAGGCUCUUCAACGGACUGCCCUUCAGAUGUGGUCUUGAGUCCCCUCACCUUCUUCUUCUUUCUUUCUUUUGAAAGAAAAACCUAUCUUAGUUAGCUCAGGCUGCCAUAACAAAAUACCACAGACUGGGCAGCUUAACAGCAGCAAUGUAUUUUCUCACAGUUUUGGAAGCCCAAGAGGAAGGUGUUGGCAGGUUUGCCUUCUCUGGAGGCCUCUCUCCUUGGCUUGUGGACAGCCACCUUCUCACUGUGUCCUUAGAGGGCCUUUCCUCUGAGCAUGAGCAUCCCUCAUGUCUUCACCUCCUCUCACAGUCCUAUUGGACUAGGGGCCACUCUUAAGACCUAAUUUAACCUUAAUUACAUCCUUAAAGGCCCUAUCUCUGAAUAAAGUCACACUGAGGUCAGGGGCUUCAACCAGUGAGUUGUGGGAGACAUAAUUUAGUCCGUAACAGUGCCCUAGAGUGCCACGGUCCUCUGUUAAACACCUAGACAGAAGAUAACACUGCAGCUGUGGUCUGACAAUUUUGAAGAUGACUGGGAUGGUCAUCUCCUUUGGAGGUAAAAUGAUACACAUUUUAGUCUGCUUUUUUAUUUUUCUUGCAGUUUUGCAUUAUUCAGGAUUUUUUAAGCUGCAAGUAACAGACAUGAACAAUGAAAUUUGUUGUUUAUAUACUGCAAAACAAAAAAAAAGGUUUAUGGGUAAGCCUGGCUUAAGUUAAAUACCUGAGUGCACAUGGUCAAGGCUGCCAUGAGAACUUGCUCUCUUGUCAUUACUGAACUCUACUUCCCUUUCUCUUGGCUUAUUAGUCUUCCCCACAUGAUGGGAAAUAAUGAUUUGAAGCUUUCAUGAUCUUGACAGCUCUUGAUCCCAGAAAAAAGAAACCAAACAGUAUCUUUUAUAAUAGUUCUAGCUCAAGUCCCAUAGAGCAGCGGUCCCCAACUUUUUUUGGCAGUAGGGACCAGUUUCAAGGAAGGCAAUUUUUCCAUGGACUGGGGUGGGAUCGGGGGAUGGUUUUGGGACAAAACUGUCCCACCUCAGAUCAUCAGGCAUUUGAUUCUCAUAAGAAGAGCACAGCCUGGCUCCUUUGCAUGCACAGUUCACAGUAGGGUUUCUGGUCCUAUGACAAUCUAAUGCCACUGCCGAUCUGACAGGAGGCAGAGCUCAGGCAGUAAUGCUCACCACUGCUCACCUCCUGCUGUGUGGAAUGGUUCCUAACAGGCCACGAACUGGUACUGGUCCUCAGCCUGAGGGGUUGGGGACCCCUGCCAUAGAGAAUUCUUAGAUGACAAAACUGCCCCUAAACCAGUCACCAUAGCCAGGGGAUUGAGUCUUGGUCUGGCCAGGUCUGGGUCAUGUGCUGCCCCCUAGGUGAGGUGGGGGAUUAGACCCACAUAAACUACAUGACAGGUAGUUAGGUCAGAUUACUGUUGAAUAGAAAAUGCUAGCUCCCUUCUACCCAACUAACCAGUUGCUGGCAAAACACGUAUCUUUCUAGAAAUAAUAAUGUGAUCCUAGCAGACAAAUAGGUGUGCUAAAAAUGACCUGAAUGUCUUUUCUUUUAAAUUUCUCAAUCUUUGUGCAAUGUCUUACCUAUUGGAACAAUCUCAAACUGAUACUUGUUUCUUUGGCCAGGUGCUAGAAAACAAAUGUCUCAAAGAGGGUAAAUGACGCACCUGUACAUCUCAGCGCUCUCCCCAUCAGUGAAAACCACACUGGUAUGCAAAACGGCAGCACAUUUCUCUUCCUGACAAUUCUUAAUAAAUUAGAGCUAGACUUUAUCAUAGAAACAGUAAGAGUAACUACAUCAAUAGGGUGGUACAUUAGAAAUUCCUAUUAAAAAAAAAAAAGAGAAAACAGAUGGCCCCAUCUGAGGGAGUGAGCAGCAUAUAAAAAGAAAAAAAAACACAUACACUGUUGAAUGAAAUUACCAUCUUGGAACUAUGCAAAACAUUUGUUGUUGCCAAAAAAAACACAUAAUAAACUGCCUUAACAGUCCAAACCAGGGUACAAUACAGUGAAUGAAGGAAACAUAGGUUCUGAUUUUCUAAUUGAGUGACUUCAUUUUAACUCCAAAAAUACAAAAACCAGCAAAAACACAAUUUAGAAAGAAAAUUUGAGGAAUAAUGUCUCAUUUUAAAAGUUUUUCAGUUGUAACAUACCAGUUACAGAACCCAGAGACACAGAAGGCAAACUUCAUUCAUUCCUCCAACUGUUAAUUGUUCUAGUAGCUGGUAGUUGCUGUGCUACAUACUAGGACAGAAAUAAACUUGGUAAACAACAAUUUCAAAAACAACUUCAAGCUUUACUGUUUACUAAGCAUUUUUGCAUAUAUAAUCAUACUUUUCCUCACAACUACCACAUUUCACAGAUAAGGGAGACUCAAAACGAAUAUAUAAUUUGCCCAGAAUAACACAAUAAUUACCAAUAAGAGGAGGAGCCUGAGCUCACAUCCAAAUGGGACUUCUAAUCUUAUACUCUUUUAUCUUACGCAUUUUUUUUUUAAAGAGUUGGGGUCUCACUCUGUCACCCAGGCUGGAAUGCAAUGGCAUGCUCAUUGUUUACUGUAGCCUCGAAUUUCUGGGCUCACAUGAUCUUUUUUGCCUCAGCCUCCUGAUUAGCUGGGCCCACAAGCAUGUACCACCAUGCCCGGUUAAUUUUUUUUUUUUGGUAGAGACAGGGUCUUGCUCUGGUCUCAAACUCCUUGCCUCAAGUGAUCCUCCCACUUCAACCUUCCAAAGUGUUGGGAUUCAUUUUGACCUAAAGAUUUUCUUCUUCCUUACUCUUCUAAUUGCCAGGUCCAGAUUCUCCUUCCACUAUGGCAAGCAGUGUUUUCUAGAAUGUAAACUCAAAAUUAAGUGUUAUGUUUAAUAUGUGGGAAACUCAGGGGGCAAAAUCAACAUUCCCCUUCCCAUAAGACUUCUCAGACCCUUCAUGCUACUAUGUACUGUCUUUUUCGGGGCAGGGGUGAUUAUAAUUUUUCUUUUCUUUUUCUUUUUUUUUUUUUUUUGAGACAGAUUCUAGCUCUGUUGCCCAGGCUAGAGUGCAGUGGCGUGAUUUCAGCUCAUUGCAACCUCCACUCUUGGUUUCAAGCAAUUCUCAUGCCUCGGCCUCCUGAGUAGCUGGGAUUAUAGGCACCCAUCACCACGCCUGUUUUUUUUUGUUUUUUGUUUGUAUUUUUAGUAGAGACGGGGUUUUGCCAUGUUGCCCAGGCUGGUCUUGAACUCCUGACCUCAGGUGAUCCGCCCACCUCGGCCUCCUGAAGUUCUGGGAUUACAGACAUGAGCCACCAUGCCCGGCCUACAGUUCUUCUUAAACUGACCACAGGACUUCUUGUUUUUGUUUUGUUUUUCCCACGAAGUCUUGUGUAUGACUAAAACAGCAGUCAAAACACAGGUUCCAGAGUCUGAUGGUCUUGGGUUCAAAUGCCAGCUCUGUGUGAUGCUGGAUAAGUUUUUAAACCAGCAUAUGACUCACUUUCUUCAUCUGUAAAAUGGACAUGACAACAAGAGCAGCUAUCUCAUAGGGCUCUUAUAAGGCUACAAGUACAUAUGCUUAUGCAUAUAAAGUACUUAGCAGGUUACACUGAUCAUAGUCAAGUUCAGUAAGUGUGAGAGAGCCACUUAUUCAAUAAAACAUUAUAUAAAACAAACAUUGCUAGAAUACCCAACAGGUUUUCCUUGUUUUACAAAAUUAGGGUAGAAAGCAGCUAUGGAAUGAUGAAAACAAAUGUUGACUUUUUAGUUAGAAGAUACAGAUCCAAAUCCUAGCUUUGCCACUUAAGCAGUGUGACUUUGAGGAGGUGAUUUAACCUCUCUGAAUCUUAGGAGCCUCUUAGGUAAAAUGGUAAUAAUAAUGUAACCACCUGCCUCUAGAAUCUGCUUUUGACUGGUGUUCAUAGGAUUACUGUGAAAAUUAGAUGUGAUAACAAAAGUGCCCACAGUACAGCAGGCACAUUUGAAAGUGUGUUACCUUGUUUGUAUAGGAAUCUAGAAGAAUCAGAAGUGCUUAAUUUAUAUAUGUAAGGACUUUUAAAACUUCACAUGGGUUUUUACUAACUCAAACCCUUUUGUCAAUCCCUACAGCUUUGAAAAUCUACCAUUCGGCCCUUUUAGUCUUUCCGGCUGAUCUUUCCCAUCCACAAACAGAUGUUGCUCACUGGAUUCAGCACUUCCAUCAAAAUCCCCAAAAGCCUUCAUGCUUAGAAAUGAACAGACAUCAAAAAGGCAGCAACUGUCCUCUUUACUGCCAUUUCCUCUUCUAGGGCCUGUGACAUGACAAGGAUAAUGCAGGAGGUUAAAAAAAAAAAGGUAAUAAAAAUGAAUAAACAAAGAGUGCUGAGAAGCCAACAUGUGUCCAGCUCUGCUCAACUGUGACAGAUGCCUUCAAGUAACCCUCAAUCUAGUUAAGAGGAUAAGAUAGAGGAAAUUAAAUAUCAGAUUGUUUAUUAUAUACCUUAAGUGUUAUAGGAGAGUUCAGAAAAAAGAGAAAUUUUGUGGGCUGUAGAGGUCAGAAAAGGCUUCCUGAAGAAAUACUGCAUGCACAGGGCUGGGUUUUAGAGGAUUUCAUGGAAAGAAAAAAAGGUUUGGAAAUGGGGAAGCAAAGUGGUGAGUGCAGAUCCAGACUAAAUCAUUUUUUUGGAGCGGAAGGAGCCAAGCUUCAAGAGACCGCAGCCAGACCAUGGAGGGCUCCACCUGUAGAAAACAAUGAAAAGCCGUCCUGGCAAUGGACAGAAUUUUAUAUCCACAAAGUACUGGGAUACCAUCCUCUCAUCCCACCUUUCUAUGAAGCAAGCUGUGUUUAAGCAUUCGGUCAUGGGUAGGGAUGAAUUGAUUAGUAUUUUGUUCAUACCAGGGAUCUGAUAAUCAUGAAUGCCCCAACCAAGCAGCCCAGGACAACAAACAAGAAUUUUAUCAACUGUAGCAAAACGUGUCAACCUUCUCUUCCUUAGGAAUCUCUAUUCCUUCACUCCCCAAAAAGGUGGAGAAUAAAAGUACACAAUCUUCAUUCUGUGGCUUUGGAAGUGCUCCAAGGUACAUUUGAUUUGCAUGCAUCCUCUCUCCAGGAAAAGGAAUUUCAUCACUGAGUGCACUUCUUAAAUCACAGAAUGUUUCAUUGCCCUGCUCAUAAAAAUACAUCCAACCACCACUUUUAUCCAUCUCUUUUAUCACCUCUCUUAGGAAGCCUCUAUCUUGACUUGAUACACAGUUGUCUGAUCUAGCAGAUACAGUGAAAAAUGAAUAAGAGUGGUAACUUCCGAAAAACUAGGCAGGGGAGCCCUGCGAGGGGGCGCUCAUCUUCCUUGCUCCUGGUUCUCUUCCUUGGUGUCUCUGGUAUGCAGUCUGUGCACAUGGGACCCAGAGUUGAUUUUCAAAAAGGAAAGAGCUCCAAGUGUUCCUGUUUCUCCCAGGGCCACACAACAAGUGAAAGUAAAUCGUCUUUUCUCUCUUCUAGCACUCGUGCUGAUGAAGAUGGGGGGCAGAGUAGUCACAAAGAAUGCAGUGUGAGUCAACCCUGGCAUCUGGAAGGAUCUGAACUGGCUGACUGGAGUGAAAAGAAUUCUUCAUGUCUGUAAAUUAUUACGAAAUGCCCUGAAGAGCCCAGUGACUAGUCACUGAGUAUCAAACCCAGGAAAGACCACGAACCAGCAUAAGUUCUAGAUCAAACAUUGUAGUCUGUACAAGCCACACUUCUAACACAUCUAGGUUCAAUCUGCCUUCAGAGGUGCCAGUGGAAUUCAAAAGCAUGUUAUAGCACUUUUCAUUUUCCAGUGCUCUUGAUUAUGAAAGCUCACACAUGGCCAUUCUCCUCUCUGAACAUCUCUGCAAAUAAAAUAUUAUUCCUAUUUUA